rnacentral:rRNA from 1 species
GAUGAACGCUGGCGGCGUGCCUAAUACAUGCAAGUCGAGCGAACGGACGAGGAGCUUGCUCCUCUGACGUUAGCGGCGGACGGGUGAGUAACACGUGGAUAACCUACCUAUAAGACUGGGAUAACUUCGGGAAACCGGAGCUAAUACCGGAUGAUAUUUUGAACCGCAUGGUUCAAUAGUGAAAGACGGUUUUGCUGUCACUUAUAGAUGGAUCCGCGCCGCAUUAGCUAGUUGGUAAGGUAACGGCUUACCAAGGCAACGAUGCGUAGCCGACCUGAGAGGGUGAUCGGCCACACUGGAACUGAGACACGGUCCAGACUCCUACGGGAGGCAGCAGUAGGGAAUCUUCCGCAAUGGGCGAAAGCUUGACGGAGCAACGCCGCGUGAGUGAUGAAGGUCUUCGGAUCGUAAAACUCUGUUAUUAGGGAAGAACAAAUGUGUAAGUAACUAUGCACGUCUUGACGGUACCUAAUCAGAAAGCCACGGCUAACUACGUG